AUUGACCGCUGGCGGCAGGCUUAACACAUGCAAGUCGAGCGAGCGGCGGACGGGUGAGUAAUGUCUGGGAAACUGCCUGAUGGAGGGGGAUCACUACUGGACACGGUAGCUACUCCCGCAUACCAUCCGAUGUGCCCAGAUGGGAUUAGCUAGUAGGUGGGGUAAUGGCUCACCUAGUCGACGAUCCCUAGCUGGUCGGAGCGGAUGACAAACUAGAUGGGAAGUGAGACACGGUACAGAUGCAUACGGGAGGGAGCAGUGGGGAAUAGUGCAAAAUCGGGAACGGCCGGAUGCAGCCGGGCAGCGUGUGGGUUGACGGGCGGCGGGUGGCAAAGGAAGCGCAGAGGGGGGGCGUUACGGUUAGACGAAGCAUCGGCUAACUCCGGGCCAGCAGCCGCGGUAAUUC
rnacentral:rRNA from 1 species